rnacentral:rRNA from 1 species
AACGAACGCUGGCGGCAGGCUUAACACAUGCAAGUCGAGCGCCCCGCAAGGGGAGCGGCAGACGGGUGAGUAACGCGUGGGAAUCUACCCAUCUCUACGGAAUAACGCAUGGAAACGUGUGCUAAUACCGUAUACGUCCUUCGGGAGAAAGAUUUAUCGGUGAUGGAUGAGCCCGCGUUGGAUUAGCUAGUUGGUGGGGUAAAGGCCUACCAAGGCGGCGAUCCAUAGCUGGUCUGAGAGGAUGAUCAGCCACACUGGGACUGAGACACGGCCCAGACUCCUACGGGAGGCAGCAGUGGGGAAUAUUGGACAAUGGGCGCAAGCCUGAUCCAGCCAUGCCGCGUGAGUGAUGAAGGCCCUAGGGUUGUAAAGCUCUUUCACCGGUGAAGAUAAUGACGGUAACCGGAGAAGAAGCCCCGGCUAACUUCGUGCCAGCCGCCGCGGUAAAAC